GUGGGGCGUGGGGAGAAGAAGAAGAGAAGUAGAGGGAGAAGAGAAGAAGAGGGAAAAGAAGAGAGGAAGAAGAGGAAGAAGUGGGAGAAGAGAAGAAAAGAAGAAGUAGAAGAGAGGGAAGAUGGAGAGGAGAAAGAGAGGCAGCUGCAGCAGCUAGGGCUGCAGCACCUCUGUUUCCCGCAGGUGGAAACAGAGGAGAGGAUGUGUGGGGCGUUGAGGAUGAAAAGGGAAGAAGAAGAAGAAGAAGAAGAAGAAGAGAGGAGGAUAGCUGCGGCAAGGCUGCAGCGAGGAGGUGUGUGGCGUUGGGGAGGAAAAAGGGAAGAGAAGAAGAAGAGAAGGAGAAGAAGGGGGAAAAGAGAGGGAAGAGAGAGAGGAGCGAGAGGUGGCAGCAGCUAGGGCUGCAGCACCUCUGUUUCCUGCAGGUGGAAACAGAGGAGAGGUGUGGGGCGUUCGAAGAGGAGAAGAAGAAGAAGAGGAAGAGAAGAGGAAGAGGAAGCAGGAGAAGAGGUUGUGAUACCUCUGUUUCCCGCUUCGAAGAGGAGAAGAAGAAGAAGAGGAAGAGAAGAGGAAGAGGAAGCAGGAGAAGAGGUUGUGAUACCUCUGUUUCCCGCAGCGGGAAACAGAGGAGAGGUGUGGGGCGUGAGAAGAAGAAGAAGAGGAAGAGAAAGAGGUUGUGAUACCUCUGUUUCCUGCAGAGGAAACAGAGGAGAGGGUGUGUGUGACGCCGGGGACGAGGAAGGAAGAAGAAGAGGAGAAGAAGAGAAGGGAAAGGAGGAGCUGCGGCUGCGGCAGAGGCAGCUGUAGCUGGAAGAGAAGGAGAGGAAGAAAAGAAGGUGAGGAAGAAGAGAAGAAGAAGAAAGGAAGGAGAAGGGGGAAAAGAGAGGGAAGAGAGAGAGGAGCGAAAGAAGAGAAGCAGCUGCGGCAGCGGCUGUGGCAGCUGCAGCUGUGGCAGGGAAAGAGGAAGAGGAAGGAAGAAGGGAAGGAGAAGAAGAGAAGGGGAAGAAGGGGCUGCGGCUGCGGCGAAGGCAGCUGCAGUUGGAAGAGAAGGGAAGGAGAGGAAGAAGUAGAAGCGGGUGAACAGGCGGCACCUCUGUUUCCUGCAGGAGGAAACAGAGGAGAGGAGGUACUGUUCGUCGGGGAGAAGAAGGGGAGGAAGGAGAAGAAGAGAAGAAGAAGAAAGGAAGGAGAAAGAAGAGGAGAAAGGAAAGAAGCAGCUGCGGCUGCAGCUGUGGAAGCUGCAGCUGUGGCAGGGAAAGAGAAAGAGGAAGGAAGAAGGGAAGGAGAGGAAGAAGAGAAGGGGAAGAAGGGGCUGCGGCUGCGGCGAUGGCAGCUGCAGCUGGAAGAGAAGAAGGAGAGGAAGAUGAGCAGGGGAGGAAGAAGAGGCUGUGGCCGCGACUGAGGCUGCGACUGCAGCAGUGCAGCUGGGAAAGAAGAGAAGGAAAGGAAGAAGAAGAGAAAGGAAAAGGGAAGAAGAGAGGAAGAGGAGAAGGAGAGGCAGUUGUGGCAGCGGCAGCGGCGCGGCUGUGACAGCUGCGUUUGGGAAAGAAAAAGAAGGAAUGAGAGUAAGAGAGAGCAGGUGACUGUGCCUCGAUGUUCGACACGUGGUGUAGUUGCGAAAAAGGAAGAAAACGGGAACACAAAACGAAACAGAGAGAGGACACGGAGGAAAAGUAGAAGGAUUUGGGCUGGCACCUUCUUUGGAUCGUCGGAUCGAAAUCUUUGAAAGGUCAGCUUGUCACUCUUCGAGAUGUUGAUUUGGGCUGAGGCAGUGGAUAGCUAUUCAGAAUUAUGGGCAAGUCUGGGUGGUUAUUAUGAUAUUGUUGUAUAAGUAUGUUUUGUAUGUAAUAAAAUGUUGUCGAUGAAUCGAAAUGGAUAUACUGUGUAAAAGUGUUAGAAGAUCUCUCUUAUUUGGAAUUUCGGAAUGUUAAGUCUAAUUUAUGACGAUAUGAACUUGUGGUGAAUAGUUGGAGUUCUGAUUGUAUAAUUUAUUUAGCUUGUGGAUUUAUAAAUGUUGUUCAUGUUUGUCAAGUUGGCUUGGGUUGCCAUAAAUGUGAAUUAUCGAGUGAUGUGAUAUA